rnacentral:rRNA from 1 species
CCUACGGGAGGCAGCAGUGGGGGAUAUUGCACAAUGGGGGAAACCCUGAUGCAGCGACGCCGCGUGGGUGAAGAAGCGCCUCGGCGCGUAAAGCCCUGUCAGCAGGGAAGAAAAUGACGGUACCUGAAGAAGAAGCCCCGGCUAACUACGUGCCAGCAGCCGCGGUAAUACGUAGGGGGCAAGCGUUAUCCGGAUUUACUGGGUGUAAAGGGGGCGCAGACGGCGACGCAAGCCUGGAGUGAAAGCCCGGGGCCGAACCCCGGGACUGCUCUGGGAACUGCGUGGCUAGAGUGCAGGAGGGGUAGGCGGAAUGCCUGGUGUAGCGGUGAAAUGCGUAGAUAUCAGGAGGAACACCGGUGGCGAAGGCGGCCUGCUGGACUGCAACUGACGUUGAGGCCCGAAAGCGUGGGGAGCAAACAGGAUUAGAUACCCCUGUAGUC